GUAACGGUCCUUUUCAGGGCCAUCGAUAUUUUACAAAAAAGAUUCU
rnacentral:ncRNA from 1 species